GUAUGCUGCAGGUGCGGCCCUAAAAAGACAAAAAAGGAAAAAUAGUAAAAUAAAAUAAAACCCUAAAUAAAAUUAUAUUUAACAGAUACCCAGUGCUGAUAAAAACACAGUAUAUUUUAUGGUGAACUGUGGAGGACAGAGCUGGGCACAAAAUUAAAUCUGAAGGGGCAUAGGAAAGGAGAAACUAACAGGCAAUAUCCCAGGUCAAAUCCCUCUUCUUGGAACCACCUGUCAUUUCCUCUGACCCCUAAAGCAUAGUAUAAAGCAGUUACCGCUCAUGCUAUGCCUGCUUGGCUCGUUUUUCUUUGGUAUGGGACACACAAUCCCCACCACUCAUCCACACCCUUUCUCUCUUGUGUCUGGUAUAAGACAGCACUGACUGGUGAGACUGGACAUCCACCUCUCCUCUAAAAGAGAGCUAGAGCUGUGUGGUCAGUGUCUGGGCCCCAGAUUCUAGUCUGCCUAGAUUUCUGAGUCCACUGGUGAGGUCAGGGCAUGCUUCUGGGGGAGCACAGAGUGGACUGACCUGAGAUUGAAGCUUGAAUCUGAACUCUUGGGCAGUGUCUGGAGUUUUGCACAAAAGAGAAUUGAACUGUGGAUCAGCUGGGAGGUUAUUGUGAUAGCCCUGGUGCCCUGCGCCUCCAGGGGACUGGAACCCUGUGGGAGCACAUAGCUGGCAUUUUUUGCUUGAGAUUAGGAAGUCUUUUGCUUCCUCUGUAUAGAGGCCUGAAUUCAAUGGACUGUUGUGGUAGGAUGGAGUCCUUUUUUUUUUUUUUUUUUUUGGUAAAAAUGAAACAGAGGUUUGGCUCCUGUUGUUACGAGAUGAUGGGCAAAUGAGCUGGCUCUCUGGCGUUUGGUGGAAAGCCAGUUUAAAAUCAUGUGGUCACAUUUUUGUCCAACAUCAUCAAGAGCAUAGAGAAGCUGUGAUUCCAGCCUCAGAAGAAUGACCUUUUAUCUCGAUGUGAUUCUCCAAAGACCGUCUUUUUCAAGAAGUAUCAGAGCCCCAUUUCAUAGUAAGUUUCUCUUGACAUUUUGUUUUGGUUGAAGGCAAGGCCCCAAGGACUGAUAUCAUCUGCAGACAGUGGUGUCCAGAGAGCCUUCCCAGGACUGGGAGGACUGAGUGGUGGUGGGUUGGCCGGGCUGAGAGGCAGGACCCUGUGUUUUAUGUCUUUCUGGGCUUCAGUCUGGCUCUCUUUGAAAUGGGCUAAUCAUCUCUCUGCCCUCUUCCUCAUGUCACGAAGGAUGCUGGGAGAUCGUGAGAGUGUAAGUUUUAUAUCCUGUCACGUUUUGUUUUUGCUGAACCUUUUGUCAGCAUAUUCUUUGGAAUCGAAUUUGUCUCGGGUUUGUCUUAGUUUUCUUUCUUUCUUUUUUUUUUUAAGUUUUCUUGAUUUAGAGAAGAAAUCAUAGGCAAACUGAGGAGGGUGGGCUGGGCUUUUCUUCUUUUUCUUUUUUUUUUUUUAGGGCCACACCUACAGCAUAUGGAGGUUCCCAGGCCAGGGGCCACAUCAGAGCUAUAGCUGCUGGCCUACGCCACAGCCACAGCAACGAAGAUCUGAGCUGCACCUGCAACCUACACCACAUCUCACGGCAAUGCUGGAUCCCUAAACCAUUGAGCAAGGCCAGGGAUUGAACCCGUGUCCUCAUGGAUACUAGUUGGUUUUGUUAACCACUGAGCCAUGACAGGAACUCCGAGUGUGGGCUGCUGGGCUUAGAUGUGCAGAACGGUUACGUGAAUGUGUGAAUGAACAUAGAAUUGGUUGGAUGUGAUGAGAAUCCUCAGAAUGACAUACAAAACACAUUCUGAGGACUCUUUCCUUCAGAAACGAAGUAGAUUCUGGCUGCAAAGUAGAUAGUUGAAAUAUAUAGUCCAAAACUGUCUUCCUAACCAGCCAAAUCAUGAAGGCAGGACUUAAAGAAACCACAUGGGAGGAGUGUCAGUCAGCUAGGGGGCUUCAAAGACUUGGGCCAGAGUUAGGAGUCAGAUCCUUGUAAUUUUUGUUUAACAUUCUCCAGAAUGUGGACCAACCCACAAAACCAUCCUCAUGUCAGCAGGCCCAAUUGAAGGACAUGUGUGUUGGAAAUUUCUGUCAUGUUCUUUCUUGCUUUAAUAAACGCAUUUAUGAGUCCAGGGCCUUCUGUAUUUUGGUUAGUCGGUGAUUGUGUCUUUCCUAAGAACCUUGGAUAAGUGUGAUUAUCAUCCUUGGGAGGUUGUGGGAAAGAAAUGGAUUUUUAAUUUAUUUUUAUUUUUAUUUUUUGGCUGCACCCACGGCUUAUGGAAGUUCCCAGGCCAGGGAUCAAACCUGAGACCAGCUACGACCUACACCACAGCUGUGAUAAUGCCAUAUCCUUAACGCUUUGCACCACAGUGGGAACUCCAAGAAGUGGAUAUCCUUAGCAAGCACCCAGAGAACUAAGGCCCAUGACAGGAAGUCAGAAGGAGGGAAAUUUCAUCUCAGACAUGACCAGCCAACAAUGGAAAAGGCUACUUUUCUUUGUUUGUUUUUCUUCUUUUUUCGGCCUUACCCGUGGCAUGUGGAAGUCCCCAGGCCAGGGGCUGAUCCCGAGCCACAGCAGUGACCUGAGCCGCUGCAGUGACACACUGGAUUCUUAACUCACUGCACCACAGGAGAAGUCCUAGAAAAGGCUGCUUUAAAGGGUGAGGUCCCACCUACCCAGAUCUUGUGUUGGACAGGGUAGGAGUAGCACAUGGUAUGCUCGGUGCUUUCCAAUUCUCAAAGAAUAUGCUUUUACCUCCUAGAGUCUCAUCCCUGGGGCAAUGAAUGUCUGAAUUGCUAAAAUCCUUGUAUUUUAUCCUCUGUCUCUAACUCCAUCAAUCAAUGUGUCCAAUUUCUCUUUACAACUGCAGACCCUAUAGACCUACUCUCAGAACAUCUAUGAAUCCUUCCUCCAUGUGGAGCAUAUGAGAGAGUAGGAGAGAACCAGGACCUAUAUUAUACUUUCAGCGGGUGGAUCCACUUGGCUGUGGGCGUCUAGGACGUGGUUCUCAACUUCAGCAAGUUGCAGAAUGGCCAGGAGGGCUGGUUAAACACAGGUUGUUAGCUCCAUCCCCAGCAUUUUCAAUUCAGUAGGUCUGUGGCAGGGCCUGAGAAUGUGCAUUUCUAACAAGUCCUCAGGUAAAGCUGCUGCCACUGGUCCAAAGACCACACUUUGGGAGCCACUGCCUCUGAGACCUAAGCCAGCCUACUCUCAGCAUGGCCCAAGUCUGGAGGGGUGGAUUAAUAAAUUUUAGGGAACAUCUCUGCCAAUCCCUUCUUCUCCUCUUUUAUCAAGGUUCACUCCUCUCUUGGAGUUCCUGCUGUGGCUCAGUGAGUUAAGAACCCAACAUAGUUUCCAUGAGGAUAUGGCUUUGAUUCCUGGCCUUGCUUAGUAGGUUAAGGUUCCAGCAUUGCUGCAAGAUGUGGAGUAGGUAGCAGGGGCAGCAUUGAUCUGCUGUGGCUGUGGCUGUGGUGUAGGCUGGUAGCUGAAGCUCUGAUUAAAUCCCUAGCCUGGGAAUUUCUGUAUGCCAAGGGUAAGGCCCUAAAAAGGAAGAAAAGAAAAAAAAGCUCACUUCUCCCUCCUCGAGAGUCUCAAAGAAAACUCUGACCCAGACCAAGGUGUCCCUGGUCCACAGUACUCUGGGAAGUCAUCCAUGCACUUCCAGGAUUAGAUGUGUCUCCCUGUACCUCUUCUUGAGGGUUCCCACAGACAACGCACUGUUUGUAACAGUAAUUCAUGUGACUUCUUCUUUAACCUCUCUCUCCUCCAGAGACUGUAAGCUCCAUGAGGGCAGGAUUUAAGAACAGUAGGAAAGAGGUGAAGGGGCAGGUGGAGCGCCUAUAGUAGGCUGCCCCCAGGAUUGUGGACGAACAGUUUCUUGUCCUGAAAGAGGUACCUGUUGAUGGGAAGAAGGAAGGAGGUGGUCUGGGACAGUCACGAGGACUCUUGGCUCAGGUCUACUCCUACUCCAUCUGCCACUAACCAGAGGUUUUACCGUCUCUAUUUUUUCCAUCAACUUGGGCAUUCAGUUCCCCCGCCCCAAUUUUAAACACCACAAUGGUUUUACUAGUUCUGAGCUACUUGCUAGCUCUAAGCCUCGGCUACUGCACCCAUAGAAUGAAAAGUUAAAGCUCCAGGUGGGAGGGAUCCAAGUUCAAAACCCAGCUCUGCUUCCGUUGCAUUUCCAUGAGCACCCGACUCAUCCUGUCUAAGCUUCAGCUUCCCUGGAAGUAAGUAAAUGGCCUCUACUUCCUGAUGUUGGUGGGACACUUCUGGAGUCAAUACACAGGGAGUCUUCCACACAGUGCCUGGCACACUUGAGGGCUCCGUGCACACAGGCUGCCAUUGUCAUCACCAUCUUUACCACCCUCUGCACCAUUGUCACCAUUCCUCCCCCCCACCCCAGCUUCUGUGAAGUCCCAGUAGGAUAAAGAACUUCAUAACCAUGAAGCAGUAUCUGCCUGUCAAGGGCACCAAGUGCCCCAGCCGCUGCCCACAAGGCCACAGUAACAUCCUCUUCAUUGGGAACGAGGCCUGCACCCUUCCUUCCAGGCUCUACCCCUUCUAGUCCUUGGCUCCUGAUAUUGUGACAAAUGCAUCUUUUGUCCCUUUCUGUUCUCAGGACUUCAGCUAACCAACUAAAGAACUGCUACCCAGAGCAUUGUUCCCAAGGAAGAAAAGAGCCAAACACUCACCCACACCCGCUUCGUGCCAAGAAUCCGCAGUUGGGUUGCAAGGCAGCAUAUGUUGUCCUUUUGGAAAAAUGAAUGUGAGACCAAGUGAAGAGCCGGCAGAGGUGUCUCAAGUCAUCCCAAGGCAAGCACCCCAACCCCCGCUGCUGAGCACGAAAGAGAAGAAACGAGCCGGGCACAACAGAUGUCCUCCCCACCAUGGGGCAGACCUGCCAGCAAGGAUGGGGGACAGCUACCAAAACGCACAUUCAUCCCCCGCUUAAUGAAAAUAAGGUAAGAAACUUAAGUAUUCUUUCCAUUUCCUCUGUAUUUCUAUAAAAGAGAUAUAUGGUGUGGUAAGUCCCUUGGGGAAUUCAGAUCAUGGUUUUAGAGAGUCAAGCAGCCCUGCAGUGGAUUCCUGGGUGAGGAAGGGCACUUACCACUAAUUGCUCCUACUGGGCCCAGCCCACCCCCACAGGGCAGGGAUUCCUGAGGCUCCCUUCUCAGCCUUUUCUCUGAAGCAAAAUGCUCAACUCAGAGUUGUGUGGCAUGCUGACUAUGGGACAGACCGGGAGACGGAAUGGAAGGACGUCUCCCCUCUUGUCUUUUCCCUGCACAGGAUCAGGCAUGCCAGGCACCCAGCCCCUCCACACUGGAGCAUGGACAAGUUUCAGAUCUGCCCUAGUGGCAUUUCCCAUGUGGUUCUAAAUCAGAGUUUUCUGUGCUAUUUGUGGUGGCCCCCCGCCUUCCCUCCCAUUCCCCAAGCUGGCACUUUACAGUAUCUUUAAAAUUGCAACAAAAGUGGAUCUAAGAGAGUCCCCAUUGUGGCUCAGGGGAAAUGAAUCUGACUAGCAUCCAUGAGGAUGCAGGUUCAAUCCCUGGCCUUGCUCAGUGGGUU